AGCCAUGCGAGUCGAGAGUCUUAGGGACUCGGCGUACCGCUCAGUAACACGUGGGUAACCUGCCCUAUGCUGGGGAAUAACCUCGGGAAACUGAGAAUAAUGCCCCAUAGUCCACCAUGCCUGGAACGGUUGGUGGAUGAAAGCUCCGGCGGCAUAGGAUGGGCCUGCGGCGUAUCAGGUCGUAGGGGGUGUAACGUACCCUCUAGCCAUCGACGCGUACGGGUGUUGGGAGACAUAGCCCGGAGAUGGAUUCUGAGACACGAAUCCAGACCCUACGGGGUGCAGCAGGCGCGAAAACUUGGCAAUGCGAGAAAUCGUGACCAGGGAGCUCCAAGUGGCUGGGGUAAGACCCAGUCUUUUCUUGACUCUUCAAAGGUCUUGGAAUAAGGGGUGGGUAAGGACGGUGCCAGCCGCCGCGGUAAUACCGGCGCCUCAAGUGGUAGUCGAUUUUAUUGGGCCUAAAACGUCCGUCGCCUGUUUGGUACAUUCGUGGGUAAAUCAACCAGCUCAACUGGUUGAAUUCUGCGAGCACGGCCAGACUUGGGACCGGGGGAGGUGUGGGGUACGCUCAGGGUAGGGGUAAAAUCCUGUCAUCCUGAGCGGACCACCUGUUGCGAAGGCUCCACACUAGAACGGAUCCGACGGUCAGGGACGAAGCCUAGGGGCACGAACCGGAUUAGAUACCCGGGUAGUCCUAGGUGUAAACGCUGUGGACUUGGUGUUGGGAAGGUUCCGAGCCUUCUCAGCGCCGAAGCGAAGGUGAUAAGUCCACUGCCUGGGGAGUACGGUCGCAAGGCUGAAACUUAAAGGAAUUGGCGGGGGAGCACCGCAUCCUGAGGAUUGUGCGGUUUAAUUGGAUUCAACGCCGGA
rnacentral:rRNA from 1 species